CCGGGUGCACCCGCAAGACCUUCCCCAACUACUUCGACGUGCUAAGCACCUUCGUCAAGAACUAGAUGGGGGAAUCCAUGGUCUGAGGAAUUUUUGUCUUUUUCAUCUUCUCGCGAGAUGGUGUAUGAGUCUGUAAUAUUAGUUUUGUAGUGCGUGAGUCCAGAGGUAAAAUGAAAUGUAUUGCACACUAUAUUCGUUUUUUGAAUAAGAAAUAAAUUACUGUUCUGUGAUCUAGAUGCCAUGCUGCUGAUCUUCGGCAUGCCUAUAGGAAAGGGGGCAGCAUUCCCUAAUACUCAAACCUAAAUGAAGUAGUCCAGGUAUGGAUCUCAACAAGAGAUCCUAUGGAGGGAGAGCGCGGUACCGGCAUAGAACAUGAGUGCUCAUUGUUGUUAAUUGUGCGUUAGGCAUGCUAUGAAAGCAUAAUUAGUGUGGCAUUUCAACAGAUACUACUAAUGUGCUGGGCGAAAUAGUUAGCGUAAACAAGCGGGCCCAGUUUGUGUUGCGAAUGGAAUCAUGUGAUGAACAUUUCCUACCCUACAUAAAACAAAUAUUCUAGAGCGCGGAGGUGUAACCUCAUGUCGGAAUGUGCGCAUUUCGCUUCAGUGAGUUUCAGAACACCGAUCGGCGGGGACUAUAUUUGUCUCCCAUAGCGGCUUGCCUGCAAAGGUAUAUUCCAGUCCGGACCGAUCACCGUCCUCGUCACUGCGGUGAGGUGUAAGAAAUGGACUGGUUAACAGACUCCACUUCAUUAUUGUAAAAUCAUUCCCCAUGCCUUCCAAGCCCACACACUUUACAAUGGACACUGUCGCUCGUCUUUUGUUGAUAGUGGAAAUGGACACGUCUCCGUUGCUAAAGGAAAUUGAAAUUGGAGUCAGGAGCCACGGGAGAGAUUGAUAUUUAUUGGUUGGGUGUAUGGUGACAUGAAGUGCCUUGCUGGCCCACCACAUUGCAUAUCUUUUGUGUGCUUCCGGUACUAUUUUAGCACGUGCAUGGCUACACAUCUCUAUUCAGCUUUGAUUUGCUAUCUUCACCUUUAUGCGUAGUAAAAAUCAUAUAUUCGACACAUCAUAGGCCCACGGCUAAAUCAUCGGUCAUCAAACAAGCUACAAAAUCUGGUAUGUAGGGCAACACUAGUAGAAAAAGGGCCUUUAGUUCCGGUUCAUAAGGGCCUUUAGUCCCGGUUCUGGAACCGGGACUAAAGGGUCGUUACUAAAGCCUCCCCCUUUAAUCCCGGUUCUUACAUGAACCGGGACUAAAGGCCCUCCACGUGGCCGCUGCCUGGAGGUCCACCUUUAGUCCCGGUUGGUAUCGGUACUAAAGGAAAUUUUAUGAUUUUUUAUGAUUUUUUUUAUUUUUAAAUUUCUGAAUUAUUUUAACCUCUAAUCUCUAAUCACCCCUCAAUUUAACCUCUAAUCUCUAAUCACCCCUCAUCAUUCCAAAUCAUCUAACUUCCCGGACGGUCCACCCAUCCUCUCACUACUCCAGUCUGAGCACGCUUAACUUCCGGGUUCUAUUCUCCCUCGUUUCCAAGUCUGCACUUGUUGUUUUCCUGACAAUAGUAAGAUGUCAAUCCUAUUAACCCUCAGGAAUUUAGCUUGAGCAUGAAGUCACACAUUUCACUGUUUGAGUUUGAAACUAUUGUUUUAAAAAACAAUAAUUAUUUAUUAACACUAAUAUUUCUUGAAUAAGUAGUUUGACCAUAGUUUGACCACAGUUUGACCAGAUUUGACCAAAAUUCAAAAAAACUGAAAUAAUUAUUUAGUAACACUAAUAUUUCUUGAAUAAUUAGUUUGACCAUUGUUUGACCAUAGUUUGACCAGAUUUGACCAAAAUUCAAAAAAACUGAAAUAAUUAUUUAGUAACAGUAAUAUUCUUGAAUAAUUAUUUAGUAACACUAAUACUUCUUGAAUAAGUAGUUUGACCAUAGUUUGACCAGAUUUAACAAAAAUUCAAAACAAAAAAAAUAGAAAUUUGAGCAUAACUUUUUUUCCUUUUAGAAUUUGAGGAUUCUAAAAAUUUGCAAACAGGCCGUAGGCGGUCAAAAUCGGAUGCGGAUUUUCGUGCUGAACACUAAUAUUAUACUUUUUUUCUGACAUCGUAUGCAAAAGUUAUAGCUGUUUUACAUUUUCCCAACACUUUUUGCAAACUGUCCAAAUUUAAGUUUUUAAAUUUUCCUAACUAGUACAUGUAGUAACAUAACUACAUCUGGAAGGAUUUUAAUUUUUGAAGUUUUUAUCAUUUUCUUUUGCUUUUUACAAAACUGAAAAGGCGAUCCACAGGGGGGGUAGAGUUUGAAAAUGGGACCUUUAGUACCGGUUCGUGCCAUGAACCGGUAUUAAUGCCUCAAACCCCAUUAGUACCGGUUGGUGGCUCGAACCGGGACUAAAGGUCUAACCUUUAGUACCGGUUGGUCCCACGAACCGGUACUGAUGGGCAUCGCACCCUUUAGUCCCGGUUCGUGGCACCAACCGGGACUAAAGGUCCCAUUUGAACCGGGACUAAUGCAUGUACGGUGCCCUAGCCGCUCGAACCGGGACUAAUGCUCACAUUAGUCCCGGCUCGUAAUGCAACCAGGAUUAAUGCUCUUUUCUGGCCGAACCAAAGCCCUGUUUUCUACUAGUGCAACCACAUAGCAUGGGUUCCAUGGACGGCACCAACACACAAAGAGGCGAAAUCAUGAGCAAGUUUACUACAAUCAUGUGGAUAACUCACCCUAAUGGUUUCAUUGAUUUGAAUGGACCGUUGUAGGAAUCCUCAUUCAAUAUAUGAGUCCCUUGGAGGAAAUGGGGAAACAAAUCGAAAGUGAGGAAACAAAUCCAAUUAUUUUAUUUGCAUAGAAGCAGUGACGAUAUCUAGGGAGAGUGUACCACUUCACUCAUGAAGUUAACACAAGUGAGAAUUGAUUUAUGUUAUUCAUAUAAUUCAAAAGAGGAAUAUCAUUUCUCGAGGAAAACUAACCUUCUCGCUAUCGACACAUGUGCGUCUGAGAUUCUUCUUUACAUUCUUGCAUUGAGAUGCCACAACUCUUUCCUAGGGAAUCGGGUAAAUAUGUUGGCUAGUGAAAGCGAGCUAUAUCAGAUCUAAGGAAGAAUGGAGUUUUGCUAGCUCUUUGUUUCCUACAUCCAGUGUAAUUCCCUUCCGAUCCCCUGCGUAAAGGGGUGUCGUGUUCUUUUUACAAUGGGGGUGAUCCCCCAUCCAUGUUUACAUAAGAAAAGGUUGGUUGUAGGAAACCUUUUCUUGCUCAAUCUGUUGCUUGUUAGUUAUGAACAAUAGAAGCCGUUCAACAUGAGCUUCAAUAAGACUAGUCGAGAACCUUUGGCUGCUUGAACAAUUCGAAUGGCACAUAAUUCAUGCUGGGCGGCAAGCAUUGCCUACUCCAAUGCCAUGCAGGCUAGGUAAGGGAACAUUGCAGUUUGCACAAAGAAAAUUGCACAGUACUAUGUGCAAAACAUUUUCUUCCCUUACCCUCGAUGACUAGGGUAAAUUCCCCCCCUCCAGUCUUCGCCGGUGAGCCCAUAGAUUCACCUCCCCUUUGCAUGUCGCUCUGGAGGAUGAUGGCGGGAAGAGGAAUUUCGAUGCCGCCACAUCGGCUAGUAGUUUAGGUUAGAGACUUUUAGUCCUCGCCACACUCGGUAGAUGGAGGUGCUUCUUCUUAGACUUUGUAUUUGGGGCUUUGAUCCUCCUUGGGUUUGUCUGUCCAGACGUAGUCGACGGAGCUCCAGUGUAGAUUUCUGACUUUCUGUCAUCUUAUGACUAUGAUGUUAGGGUCUCUCGCGAUUUGGUGUCACGUGCUUCAGAUCUAUUCAUGGGUUCAACAACGACGAUUACGGCUCCAAGACGAUGGUCCUUAGGGAACAUGCAGGGAGACUUCCUAGCUGUCAUCGGUAAGUUCAAGUCGGGUCGUGCAGGGGAGCGACGACAACGAUGCGUCAGCGGCUCAUUCUGCUGGUGGUAUUGGUCAUUUGGUGGUCCAUGAACUUUGAUAUAAUUUUAGUUAAAAUUGAGAUGCGUUGUAUGAAUUUUUAUAAGUCAAUUACACCGGUCGUGCUAGAACUUGGCGCAAACAGUCACGUUGGUGCUAGAAAUUGCGGCAUAGAUUGAACUGGUGCAAUAAUUUGGCUUGAGCGUGCAAAUACGGUGCAAAUCUCGAUUGUGUAUGCCUGAGCCAUUGACUAGGCGUGCCAGCGUGACGUGGGGCCCGCUGUCAGCCACUGUAAGGCAGAGAGGAGCACGUGUGGCAUUUUUUCUUUGCGAAAACCCCCUCAAAUUUUUUAUUUCACAUAAAAAAGCCCUUGCUUACGCGUUAGAUGGCAUUUAAUUUUUUUCCGCCUCACACAUGGGUCCCACUUGUAAGUAAAGGAAAAUUAAACAUGAAAAUAAACACGUGGGUCCACUCACAUUCUAUUGCACGACAUCGAUAACAAACCUUAAUGUAGUACAAGCUCAAACGCAUGUGGGGCUUAAAUGGGUUGCAAAUAGUGCGGCCCAUUUUGCAUGCAGUAGUUUUUUAAAGAUAUUUUUAAAACAUAAAUAAUAAACAUCAUGUUUAAAUACUCAUGUGUUAUAAAUAUUAUAAUUUUUAGGGGGAUAUAAAUAUUAUACAUAAAACAAACAUUAGUAAAUAAAAGGAUUUAAAUAUACCCCCAUGUAUUAUAUAAAAAGUUUAGUAAAUACGGACAUUUAUUUUUUAUUAAAUAGAAAGGUUUAAUGAAUAAAAAAAUACACACUUUUACUUAUAUUUAAUUAUACAAAAUGAUGAAUACAAACAUUUACUAAAUAUUCAAUUGUGUAUAAGUUUCACUCAUGGCUUAUAUUUGAAAUAUUUAUNNNNNNNNNNNNNNNNNNNNNNNNNNNNNNNNNNNNNNNNNNNNNNNNNNNNNNNNNNNNNNNNNNNNNNNNNNNNNNNNNNNNNNNNNNNNNNNNNNNNNNNNNNNNNNNNNNNNNNNNNNNNNNNNNNNNNNNNNNNNNNNNNNNNNNNNNNNNNNNNNNNNNNNNNNNNNNNNNNNNNNNNNNNNNNNNNNNNNNNNNNNNNNNNNNNNNNNNNNNNNNNNNNNNNNNNNNNNNNNNNNNNNNNNNNNNNNNNNNNNNNNNNNNNNNNNNNNNNNNNNNNNNNNNNNNNNNNNNNNNNNNNNNNNNNNNNNNNNNNNNNNNNNNNNUUUAUUAUAAAAACAUUUUUAAUUCAAAUUUAAAAUAGUAAUACUCAUAUUGUAUUGUUUUAAAUUAUACAUAUAUUUUUAUACAUAAAUAUUGUUUAAAAUAUAUAUGAAUUUUUUCAAAAUAAUACGUGCUUUUUUUAAAAAAUAAGUUAUUUUGAUUGUAUGUAUAUUAGCACAUAUGUCCGUGCGUUGCAACCUGAGAAAAAAUAGUAUGCAUUUAAAGUUAGUGAGAAUUAUAUGUGCAAGCAAAACCCUGUGCGGACAUGAAAAAGGAAUAUUUAGCUUCUCGGUUUUGCUAGGUGUGAAAUAAUCAAUCGGCUAUUUAUCCAUUCAGUGAUCGAGGGCAUUUAAGAGUUUUGUUACAUCACCUUACGCCAGAGAGGGCCCACGAAUUAUUCAUCUAGUUUUCCUUUCAAUCGAGGAGAUUUUAAGGUAUGAAGUUUCUCAAUAUUGUAGGAAACAUGAACCAUUUUUAAAAUCCUGAACAGUGUUUUGAAAAUUAUGUACACUUCCACAAAAACGUGCACAAAAUUUGAAUCAGGAAUAUUUUAAAAUUCACAAACAUUUUUUGAAAGCACCAACUUUUUUUAUAGAAAAAGACCAUUAUGUGAAUUUGUGAACAUUUUUUUAGAAAUGGAACCUGUGUUGAAAAUUCAUAACAUUUUGCGAAAAUGUUUAUCUUUUAACGUUAUUUUUUUUGAGGGACUUUUAACGUUAUUUUGAAUUCUGAAAGACUCACUAAAUCAAGAAUAUUUCAAAAUUUGGAUCAUGUUGAAAUUGUCAUUUUAUUUUUAGAAAUCUUGAACAAUUUUGAAAAACAAUUAAAUUUUCAUAAAAAUGGGAAACUUUUUUCAAGUGCCGAAUAUUUUUCAAAAUAGAAAAAAUUUCGGGUUUCUGAACAUUUAUGUCAUUUGUAUUUUUUAAAAUUUUGAAUGUUUUUUGAGAAUUUUGAAUUCACCAAAUAAUUUCUAUAAGAAAAAUAAACUUGUAAAGUGAAAAAAGAGAUAGGGGAAGGAGAAUAAAAAUAGAAAUAAAACUAAGUAAAAAAUGGGCCAGCCCAUCAUUGGUUGUACCGUGCGAAGUUCCAACUAUUUAUUGCCUUGUGUGGAAAAUGGAUUUUCACACCUGCAUGGACAGAAAAGUAAGUGGGCUGGCUUCGUUGGGCUACAAUGCGCGGCCCAUGUACGAAAUUCAUAAAAAGCCUUUUUUGUCUAGCAGACUACUGAUUAAGGAUUUAGUACCACCUCGGAUAGAAUAUUUUUUUCUUUUUUGAGGUGAACGGAUGAAAUUUUUUGCAAAACACACCUUGCUUUACUAGUCCUAGCACAUAUGCCCGUACGUUGAAACGGGAGAAAAAAAUAGUAUACAUUAAAGUUAGUGAGAAUUAUAUGGGCAAGCAAAGCCAUGUAUGCACGUGAAAAAAAGGAACAUUUAGCUUCUAGGUUUCGCCGGGUGUGAAGUAAUCAAUCCGCUAUUUUUCCAUUCAUUGAUCGAGGACAUUUAAAAGUUUUGUUACAUCAUCGUACGCCAGAGAAGGCCCAUGAAUUAUUCAAUCUACUUUUCCUUUUAAUCGAGGAGACUUUAAGGUAUGAAGUUUCUCAAUAUUGUAGGAAACAUGAACCCUUAUUUAAAUCCUGAACAGUUUUUUGAAAAUUAUGUGCACUUUAAGAAAAUUUUAAAAAGGAUUUUUUUCUAAAAUUCACAAACAUUUCAAAAAAACAACUUUUUUUAUAAAAAUAUGAACAUUAUUUGAAUUUGUGAACAUUUUAUUAUACGGGAACAAGUGUUGAAAAUGCAUAACAUUUUUUGAAAAUAUUUAUCUUUUAUAUGCGAAAGUUAUUUUGAAUUGUGAAAAUUUCACAAAAGCAACAAUAUUUUUCGAAUUUGGAGCAUUUUUUUAAAUUCCGUUAUCUUUUUAGAAAUCUCAAACAACUUUCAAAAAAAUAACUUUUUGGAAAAAAUGGGAAACUUUUUUCAAGUUCCGCGUAUUUUUCAAAAUAGCAACAAAACUUUAGAUUUCUGAAUAUUUCUAAAUUUUGAUUUUUUUAAUUCUGAAUGUAUUUUGAACUUGUGAAAUAAAUUCUAUAAGAAAAUUAAACUUGAAAGGAAAACAAGAAACAGUGGAAGGAGAAUAAAAAAACUAAAACACAGAAACAAAGAAAAAUGGGCUAGCCCAUUAUUGGUUGUCCUGUGCGAAGCUCCGACUAUUUGUCGGCCCGUGCAGAAAAUAGAAUUUUCCCAGCCACGUGGGCAGAAGAAUAAUUGGGUUGGCUUCGCUGGGUCACAGCACGCGGCCCACGUAUGAAAUUCUAGAAAAAGACUUUUUUUUUCUAGCAGACGAACGCAUCAGAAUUUAGUACCACCUCGGAUAGGGAAAAAAAUGCUUUUUCGGUGGUUAACGGAUGAAAAAAUUGGCGAAACGCAACUUGAUUUAUUAGUGGGCGGUAUAGAUAUAGAUAUAGAGGUACUGAUAUAAUAUUUAUACGUCAUGAAUAUUUGAGUGUUAGUUUGAUUACUGCAAUUAGUAUUUACACCCAUUUACAAAUUUCUAAAAGAAACGAGCGGGUGCGAAUGCGCCACACUGAUCGCAGCCCAUUUCAGCUCCAAGACCGCUUUUGUUCAAUUACAAUGUGCAUAGUUGUCCGUUGAAGGCGUGAUCGAUGAAGUUGCUAGGAGUGACUGUGCUAGCUACAGGUCGCUGGUUCGAUAAGCGUAGUACUCCGUUUUGGUUUCAUUUUUCAGAAAAAUGGAAAUGCCACCUCUCCAACAUCAGCAGGUUUUUUUUUGAGAAAUAAAAAAUCGAGAGGUUUUCGAAAAAAAACCGGGCCACAUGCCUUCUGUCCACCUUCUAAUUGCUGACAAGGGGCCCCACACAACGCUGUCACGUCUAGUCAGCGGCUCGAGCGUACACAAUCCAGAUUUGCAUCGUAUUUGCAUCCUCGAGCAAAGUUAUUGCAUCAGUUUAAUGUAUGCCUCAAGCUCUAGCACCGAAGUGACCAUUUGCGCCAAGUUCUACAACCGCCGGGGUAAUUGACUCAAUUUUUAGGACGCCGAUAACCACCACACGUGUGGCACCGAUGCAGCUGGACCGAAUGACUCAUUCGGUAUGAUCGCCUGUUCUUAUAUCUCAGCCUCCUGUUGCAUCCCAGGUGCUUUAUCUUACCCUGUCCUGUGUCCUGUGCCAUAUAGCUGGGAGCAACGGUGGAGGAAGGCCCGGACUACUGCAUCAUCACACCACCAGAGAAGCUGAACGUCACGGCGAUCGACACCUACGACGACCACCGGAUGGCGAUGGCCUUCUCCCUGGCGGCAUGUGCCGAGGUACCAGUCACCAUCAGGGACCCCGGGUGCACCCGCAAGACCUUCCCCAACUACUUCAAUGUGCUAAGCACCUUCGUGAAGAACUAGGCUGGGAAAAUCAACAACGAAUUGCGCUUGUACUAUGUAGCCUGUCCAUGGUUUGAGGAAAUUUUGUCUUAGUCUUGUCGCGAGAUGGUGUAUGAGUCUGUAAUAUUAGUUUUGUAGCGUGUGCGCCUUGAGGUAAAAUGAAAUGUAUUGCACACUGUUUUCUUUUUUGAAUAAGAAAU
rnacentral:lncRNA from 1 species